rnacentral:lncRNA from 1 species
AACAUAAACCCGCCAAGAUGGCAGAAGCGAAGCAGAAGGCCCCUGCCGCGAGCUCACCUACAGCGCGACCUCCACAGGUUGCGGGGCCGCCCGAGAGCCCGCGGCGGCUGUACUGCCCCCAGGCGGUGGCGACCCAUCCACGCAGGCGGCGGCCGCGGCGGCCCCACCAGAGCGCCUGCGCAGAGCCCAGAAGGCAGUGCGAGGGGAGCGGCGCCGCGUGGCGAGGUGGCGGCGGCGAGGCGGCGGCUGAGGGACGCGGUCCUCCCGCCCCGGUCGGCGGAGAGCGCGGUGGGCACCGCCGUGCCCGUCGGCCCCGUGGAAACCAAGCCUGACGUGAGCCGCCGCUACCUGGGUGAGGCCUCCGUCACCUCCAGAUUCCUGAAGCGAGGCGCGUCUGGCCACCCCUUCCCGCGUCAGCCCCCUCAAGUAGCUGAAAGCUGGAUAUUAGGAAUAACUCUGGACAUACCUGUUUCAAGUGAACAAAAGCAAACAAAUACAGAAGUCUGUAACCCAAUAUAUUCUCAAGCACAAACUAAGCAGUUGAAUAUGGGAUCACUGCAGAGGCCAAGCUCUGGUUCAGGUUAUCAGACCACAAGAAACCACAUCAAGACCAGACAUAAGGACCAGAAAUCCUGGAUUCUGAAGUGGACACAGAUACCAAUGUAGAUCAUCCCAUUCGACAUUCCAGAUUUGAAUUUUUCUUGUAUCCAAACACCAGUAGUGAGUGAAACAGGAAAUCUUUAGGUAUUUAGGAGAAGCCUGAAAUCAUAAAGUGUUUUGGAAGAAACAAUGCAACAUUUGCUGUCUCUUCAGCUGUAAAGAAAUGUACACAGUAGAACAUCACAGUGACACAAAAAUAAAAGAAAAACGUCAAGUGUUGCAAAGUCCUAAGAACAUGGACUUAGGAACUAGAAAAAAAUGGGAAGAAUAAUUGAGAAUAUGGAUUGAAGAGCAAACUGAAAAAGAAUUGGAAAUGUGUUGCACAAUCGUAAAGAAAGCACUAUAUGUGAAGACCCAAAAUUGCCAAACCCUGAGGAAGGGGCUCAUUUCAGUGCCUUUGUGGUUGAUUUCGUGGUUUCAAACAUUGCUGUAAUCUCCAGAGUCUUCAGCUGUUGAGCCAAACCAUUAGUGCAUAUGAGAAAUCUGAGGGGGACGAAUUUGAAGUAGAAGGUAUACAUUAGAUCAACUUUUCAAUUUUGAUGAUAGAGGCAUCAAUUCGAAAUGCAUCCCUCAGGGGUACCUGGGUGGCUCAGUGGUUGAGCGUUUCAAGUUGUGAUCCCAGGGUCCUGGGAUCGAGUCCCACAUGGGGCUCCCCAUAGGGAGCCUGCUUCUCCUUCUGCCUUGUCUGCCUCUGUCUGUCUCUCAUGAAUAAAUAAAGAAAUGCAUCCUUCAAAACAUCUAUAUUUCAAAGAAAUAAAGAACAUAUUUUAUUAUUAAAAGUGAGAUCGGUUUAUAACUGUGAUGUUCAGUGCCAGUAUGGAGAGGAAGAAAAUGAGCUACAGCCAAAGGCAUUGGGUGUUACGAUUUCACAUGCACUUUUGUUUAAUGUUCCUUCCAACCCUUUGCAAGCAGCCUGAUUCUGACACUCCUUCUAUAAGCAAGUAUCACCUCUUUUUAAAGAUAGAGUGAUAUAUUUAUUACAGUAUUUAUGCAUUUUUAACCAUUUAACAUGUAAAACUGUGCCACCGUUUUUGUUAGGUUUAUAUCUUUUUAAAAAGUUUGUCACUGAGGAAAUAUUUGAGUAUUAUUUCCCCCUAUUUCCAUAAUCCCUCUGAUUUUUAUUUUCCAAUUUGAUAUAGGGAGGCAAUUUUGAAAAAUGCAUAUAUUGUGUUAUAGCAGAACUGAUAUAUAUUCAAUUAGAGGUAAAAUGGCCUAGCUGGUCUGUUUUCUUCUUUCUACUUCUCCUCCUCCUCCUUUUUUUUUUCUUCCUCAAUUAUAAAAUUAAAAUGCUUAUUUAAAAAUCUUUUUUUAAUCAUAAAGAAUUGUGUGAAGUUAAAGAAAGAUUAAAGAAGAACACCACUACAAGUCCUCUAUCCCUUAGACUUCUUGAGAUCUUUGAGUUGUUUACUGCAAAGCUAGAUUAAGCCAUAAAAAUCAAAGUGCAUUAAUUUU